UACGUAGGGGGCUAGCGUUGUCCGGAAUCAUUGGGCGUAAAGAGCGUGUAGGCGGCCCGUUAAGUCCGCUGUAAAAGUCAAAGGCUCAACCUUUGAAUGUCAGUGGAUACUGCCGGGCUAGAGUCCGGAAGAGGCGAGUGGAACUCCUGGUGUAGCGGUGGAAUGCGCAGAUAUCAGGAAGAACACCGACGGCGAAGGCAGCUCGCUGGGACGGUACUGACGCUGAGACGCGAAAGCGUGGGGAGCGAACAGG
rnacentral:rRNA from 1 species